CGUGCACACCAGAAAUGCUCUCUCAGCCGCACACUGAGGGAACUUUCUAUCUCGUGUGCACACUCGCACGCUGACAAGCGAGCAAGCAGGCGGGCAGGAAGGCACACCCCCCUCCCAUUAUCUGUGCGGAGGGCAGAUCUGCUCGUAUUGGUGAGAGCAGCACGGGGGCUGUGUUCUGCUCCUCAGCAGCAGCAGCAGCAGCAUCACUAACAGCAGCAGCAGCAGCAGGACGAGUCCAGAGGAGAGCAGUCAUCACCAGAGAUCACACACCAUCCUCCAGAGCGGAGGUGUGUGCCAGUGGGACAGCCAUGGAGGACACCAUCACCUGCAGCCACGCCACCUUCUCCCAGGUGUUUGGACGCCAGGGGCAGCUCAUGCAAGCCACGGUGCAGUCUCUGAACAGCCUGAACGACCAGAUUGCUCAGUUCAUGGUGACCAGACCCUGCAGCCUGGCGGACGCGGAUGUGGCCUUCAUACUGGGCGAGAGGGACACCCUGAGGAAGUCCAUGACUCUGAUGAGACACC